rnacentral:rRNA from 1 species
GUUGACCUCGGAUCAGGUAGGAAUACCCGCUGAACUUAAGCAUAUCAAUAAGCGGAGGAAAAGAAACCAACAGGGAUUGCCCUAGUAACGGCGAGUGAAGCGGCAACAGCUCAAAUUUGAAAUCUGGCCCUUGGGUCCGAAUUGUAAUUUGUAGAGGAUGAUUUUGGUGCGGUACCUUCCGAGUUCCUUGGAACAGGACGCCUUAGAGGGUGAGAGCCCCGUACGGUAGGAUACCUAGCCUCUGUAAAUCUCCUUCGACGAGUCGAGUAGUUUGGGAAUGCUGCUCUAAAUGGGAGGUAAAUUUCUUCUAAAGCUAAAUACUGGCCAGAGACCGAUAGCGCACAAGUAGAGUGAUCGAAAGAUGAAAAGCACUUUGAAAAGAGGGUUAAAUAGCACGUGAAAUUGUUGAAAGGGAAGGAUUUAUGACCAGACUUUUUCUGGGCAGAUCAUCCGGUGUUCUCACCGGUGCACUUUGCCCAGUUUAGGCCAGCAUCGAUUUCCGGAGGGGGAUAAAAGCUUUGGGAAUGUGGCUCCCUCGGGAGUGUUAUAGCCCAUUGUAUAAUACCUUUCUGGGGAUCGAGGUACGCGCUUCUGCAAGGAUGCUGGCGUAAUGGUUAUCAAUCACCCGUC